UUUGACGUAAUGACUGUCCGUCUUAUAUGAAAUUUUUUUAUAAUUUAUAUUUUAUUAUUGCUAGAUGAUAAAAUAUGAUUAAUAUUUUAUACGUGACUUGUCUUUUUAAUUUUUUCAUAAUUUUUUCAAAUAAGACGGACGGUCAAAUGUUGGACACGAAAAUCAUGG
rnacentral:pre_miRNA from 1 species